GGUCAAGCUACUAAGGGCACAUGGUGGAUGCCUUGGCACUUCGAGGCGAUGAAGGACGUGGCAAGCUGCGAUAAGCUACGGUGAGGAGCAAGCAUCCUUUGAUCCGUAGAUUUCCGAAUGGGGGAACCCACAUGAGCAAUACUCAUGUACUCCCGCCUGAAUCUAUAGGGCGGGUAGAGCGAACCGGGGGAAGUGAACCAUCUCAGUACCCCGAGGAAGAGAAAACAAUAGUGAUUCCGUCAGUAGCGGCGAGCGAAAGCGGAUCAGCCUAAACCGACAGGGCAUGCUCUGUCGGGGUCGUGGGAUCAGAGUUAGGAGUUACAAAGGUUCAGGUUAGCGGAACAGUCUGGAAAGGCUGGCCAUAGGGCGUGAUAGCCGCGUACGCGAAAACCUGGAACCCUCCGUUAUGCUUUGACACCCGAGUAAUGCGGGACACGAGGAAUCCUGCAUGAAUUUGCCGGGACCAUCCGGUAAGGCUAAAUACUCCGAAGUGACCGAUAGUGAACCAGUACCGUGAGGGAAAGGUGAAAAGAACCCCGGUGAGGGGAGUGAAAUAGUACCUGAAACCGUGUGCUUACAAGCAGUGGGAGGUCAAGGUUCGUCCUGACUGACCGCGUGCCUUUUGCAUAAUGAGCCGGCUAGUGAAUGUCACAGGCAAGGUUAAACGAUAAGUGAGCCGAAGCGAAAGCGAGUCCUAAUAGGGCGUUUAGUCUGUGGUAUUCGGACGUGAAGCGAGAUGAUCUAUGCAUGGUCAGGCUGAAGCGUGGGUAACACCACGUGGAGGGCCGAACCAGUUAAGGUUGAAAACUUUUUGGAUGAACUGUGCAUAGGGGUGAAAGGCUAAUCAAAUUUCGUGAUAGCUCGUUCUCGCCGAAAUAGCUUUAGGGCUAGCCUCGGAUGAAUCGUUACGGUGGUAAAGCGCUGAAUGGGCUAGGGGCCUCACAAGGUUACCGAACCCAAUCAAACUCUGAAUGCCGUAAACGUAUAUCCGGGAGUCAGACUACGGGGGCUAAGCUCCGUGGUCGAGAGGGAAACAGCCCAGACCGACAACUAAGGUCCCAAAAUCGUGGUUAAGUGGGAAAGGAAGUGGGGAAGCACUGACAGCCAGGAGGUUGGCUUAGAAGCAGCCAUCCUUUAAAGAAAGCGUAAUAGCUCACUGGUCAAGCAGCCCUGCACCGACAAUAUAACGGGGCUAAAACCACGUACCGAAGUUUCGGAUUGUGAGACUUCUACUCUGCGAUCUCAAAUCUCAAAUUUGAGAUCUGAGAUCUAAGAUGUGGAGAUCGUAGAGCAGAAGUCUCACGAUGGUAGGCGAGCAUUCCGUAGCUGUGAAGCGGUACCGUAAGGGCCGUUGGAGCGAUCGGAAAAGACUCUGUCGGCAUAAGUAGCGAUAACGCGGGUGAGAACCCCGCGCGCCGUAAACCUAAGGUUUCCUGAGUAAAGUUAAUCUGCUCAGGGUUAGUCGGUACCUAAGGCGAGGCCGAAAGGCG
rnacentral:rRNA from 1 species